rnacentral:rRNA from 1 species
ACGGGAGGCAGCAGUGGGGAAUAUUGCACAAUGGGGGAAACCCUGAUGCAGCGACGCCGCGUGAGUGAAGAAGUAUUUCGGUAUGUAAAGCUCUAUCAGCAGGGAAGAUAAUGACGGUACCUGACUAAGAAGCACCGGCUAAAUACGUGCCAGCAGCCGCGGUAAUACGUAUGGUGCAAGCGUUAUCCGGAUUUACUGGGUGUAAAGGGAGCGCAGACGGCAUAGCAAGCCAGAUGUGAAAGGUGGGGGCUCAACCCCCAAACUGCAUUUGGAACUGUUAAGCUAGAGUGUCGGAGAGGUAAGUGGAAUUCCUAGUGUAGCGGUGAAAUGCGUAGAUAUUAGGAGGAACACCAGUGGCGAAGGCGGCUUACUGGACGAUAACUGACGUUGAGGCUCGAAAGCGUGGGGAGCAAACAGGAUUAGAUACCCUGGUA